rnacentral:rRNA from 1 species
GUUGGUGGAGUGAUUUGUCUGGUUAAUUCCGUUAACGAACGAGACCGCCGCCUGCUAAAUAGUUCCGUGAAUCAUUUUUGAUUGAUGAGAGCUUCUUAGAGGGACGUCCAUUCUACAAGAUGGAGGAAGAUGGCGGCAAUAACAGG